AACCUCCGCAAUGUGAGAAAUCGCGACGGGGGGAUCCCAAGUGCCAUUCUUAACGGGAUGGCUUUUCAUUAGUGUAAAGAGCUUUUGGAAUAAGAGCUGGGCAAGACCGGUGCCAGCCGCCGCGGUAACACCGGCAGCUCUAGUGGUAGCAAUUUUUAUUGGGCCUAAAGCGUCCGUAGCCGGUUUAAUAAGUCUCUGGUGAAAUCCUGUAGCUUAACUGUGGGAACUGCUGGAGAUACUAUUAGACUUGAGACCGGGAGAGGUUAGAGGUACUCCCAGGGUAGAGGUGAAAUUCUGUAAUCCUGGGAGGACCGCCUGUUGCGAAGGCGUCUAACUGGAACGGUUCUGACGGUGAGGGACGAAAGUUAGGGGCGCGAACCGGAUUAGAUACCCGGGUAGUCCUAACUGUAAACGAUGCGGACUUGGUGUUGGGGUGGCUUUGAGCUGCUCCAGUGCCGAAGGGAAGCUGUUAAGUCCGCCGCCUGGGAAGUACGGUCGCAAGACUGAAACUUAAAGGAAUU
rnacentral:rRNA from 1 species